AUUUAUACCGAUGAAGAAGUUCUGUUCCUGGUUUUCUUCUUUAUGUCGCAAACAUUCUUUGCCAUCUAUCGGCGACGCUAGUUUUGUUUAAUUUGUUGCAUUGUGAGAAGUAUCGAGAAUUUUUCUAUGCAGGGACCUCUCUUUGCAUAGAAUCAAUCUAUUUCUUGGAGCAGUCGACUCUGAUUUGAUAUACGCAUACCGUUUCUUGCAUUAGUAUGGGCUGAUUUUGGCACUUCAUGGAAAGAAAUCUGGACGAACCGCCCGCGAAACGAAUCAAACCAUCUGCUCCAGAAUUGGAGAAAUUCUCCGAUAGUUCAUCUCCUCCGCAUCAUUCCAAUC
rnacentral:lncRNA from 1 species